UGCAUCCUUUGGGAAGAUGACCUUCCAGGAUGCACCUACAUCUGAAAUAUGAAAGCAGAUGUAGUGUUUGUUUUGGCUGCACUCUGCAAGGUCACUUCACCCUAUGGCUUUUAGGAAUCCCAGAAUGGCUGGAGUGAGAAGGGACCUCCGAGUCUAUCUGGCCCAACCCCUGACCAAGCAGGGACACCCAGAGCAGGGUGGCCAGGGUCAUGGCCAGGCAGCUUCUGAAGAUCUCCAAGGAGGAGACCCCGCAGCCUCUCUGGGCAAUCUGUACCGGUGCUCUGUCACAUGCAGAGUACAGAAGUGCUGCCUUGUGUUCAGGGGGAACCUACUGUCCUCCAGUUUGAUGCUGUGUUCUAAAGAGACUCUUUAGUGGCUCAGUGCCAUGUGCACAUUUGUCUCCAUGGUAGGUGCUCACCUUAAGUUCAGGUUGGUGAUAAAGAAAACUCAAAAACCUUUCCGCAAGAGGAUGGUGAAAUGGGAAACCUCAUGCUCCAGUUGCAGAGUGUUCAAGAGUGUGGUGUCCUCUGGAUCACUCACUGCUGCUAAUUCUGCCACGUGGGUCAGCUGGAUCCCAGGUCAGCAUGAAGCCAUUUCUCUUGCGUGCAAAAGGAAAGCCAGCCUAUUUAAUGUGUGCCAUCAGCAGCUCGAAAGCACCAAUGUUUUAUCUCUUGUCAUUCAUUACAAACAAAUUGUAUCCUUCUUCAUAGUUGCCAUGCAGGAUAGAUAUCGAGGAUCUGUAUAAUAUUGUUCAGUGUUUAGAAAAUAUUUAAUCAUCACUGUGGAGUACAAUUUGCAUUAUUCCCAUUUUUCAUGCCAACAUGAUUUGUAUGGCAGCCAAUGUAUGCUAAUUAGUCAAAUUUCCCUAAUUAAUUUUUGUUAACGUGUUGUCCUGACAUGACUUGAAAUGUACAGCUUAUUGUAUUAAAUGUAUUAAAAUUGCUUCUGCUUUCUACUGUAUACCAGGGAAUAAUCUGCUACCAACAGCAAGUGUUUACAACAAUUUUUAAAUGCACAUAUUCUAAUUAAAGUGAACAUCCAACAUGUUGGCCAAGGGUGAGUCAUACUUCAUAAUAGCUCUACAGGGAAG
ensembl:lncRNA